rnacentral:rRNA from 1 species
GGAUGAACGCUGGCGGCGUGCCUAAUACAUGCAAGUCGAGCGAACCACUUCGGUGGUGAGCGGCGAACGGGUGAGUAACACGUAGGUGAUCUGCCCAUCAGACGGGGACAACGAUUGGAAACGAUCGCUAAUACCGGAUAGGACGAAAGUUUAAAGGUGCUUCUGGCACCGCUGAUGGAUGAGCCUGCGGCGCAUUAGCUAGUUGGUAGGGUAAAGGCCUACCAAGGCGACGAUGCGUAGCCGACCUGAGAGGGUGAACGGCCACACUGGGACUGAGACACGGCCCAGACUCCUACGGGAGGCAGCAGUAGGGAAUCUUCGGCAAUGGGCGAAAGCCUGACCGAGCAACGCCGCGUGAAUGAUGAAGGCCUUCGGGUUGUAAAAUUCUGUUAUAAGGGAAGAACGACUUUAGUAGGAAAUGGCUAGAGUGUGACGGUACCUUAUGAGAAAGCCACGGCUAACUACGUGCCAGCAGCCGCGGUAAUACGUAGGUGGCGAGCGUUAUCCGGAAUUAUUGGGCG